CCUACGGGGGGCAGCAGUCGAGAAUCAUUCACAAUGGGGGAAACUCUGAUGGUGCGACGCCGCGUGGGGGAAUGAAGGUCUUCGGAUUGUAAACCCCUGUCAUGUGGGAGCAAAUUAAAAAGAUAGUACCACAAGAGGAAGAGACGGCUAACUCUGUGCCAGCAGCCGCGGUAAUACAGAGGUCUCAAGCGUUGUUCGGAAUCACGGGGCGUAAAGCGUGCGUAGGCUGUUUCGUAAGUCGUGUGUGAAAGGCGCGGGCUCAACCCGCGGACGGCACAUGAUACUGCGAGACUAGAGUAAUGGAGGGGGAACCGGAAUUCUCGGUGUAGCAGUGAAAUGCGUAGAUAUCGGGAGGAACACUAGUGGCGAAGGCGGGUUCCUGGACAUUAACUGACGCUGAGGCACGAAGGCCAGGGGAGCGAAAGGGAUUAGAUACCCUUGUAGUC
rnacentral:rRNA from 1 species